GACGAACGCUGGCGGCGUGCUUAACACAUGCAAGUCGAACGGUGAAGCGCCUUCCUUUUUGGUGGGUGUGGAUGAGUGGCGAACGGGUGAGUAACACGUGAGUAACCUGCCCCCUUCUUCUGGAUAACCGCAUGAAAGUGUGGCUAAUACGGGAUAUUCUGGGUCUGUCGCAUGAUGGGUCUGGGAAAGAUAUUGUUUCGGUGGGGGAUGGGCUCGCGGCCUAUCAGCUUGUUGGUGGGGUGAUGGCCUACCAAGGCGGUGACGGGUAGCCGGCCUGAGAGGGUGGACGGUCACACUGGGACUGAGACACGGCCCAGACUACUACGGGGGGCAGCAGUGGAGAAUGUUGCACAAUGGGCGCAAGCCUGAUGCAGCGACGCCGCGUGAGGGAUGGAGGCCGUCGGGUUGUGAACCUCUUUCGCCAGUGAAGCAGGCCUGCCUCGUUUGUGGGUGGGUUGACGGUAGCUGGAUAAGAAGCGCCGGCUAAAUACGUG
rnacentral:rRNA from 1 species